CUGCUGUUUUCUGCUUUUCUUUCAUUCAGUUUUAUCCAGAUGAGUGAGCUGACAGCAGCCAUGACUGUGGAGUGGACACAUAUGCUCCUGCCAUCCUCUGUGUUCAGCGUAAGCUGCAUGGAAACAUUCAAGGAGCACAAGUUCCCAGAGUUCCUGUUAUAACCAAGGUGCCACAUAUACUCAGUGUAACAUAAUGUUCACACAGCAGAGUGCCCUGACAACAGAAAAGCAAGAAGACAGCCGAGAGUGACUGAUCCUGAAAACACUUUGAGGGGGAAAAAAACACACCACACACACACAUACACACACAACACUGACAGCUGUCGGCUCUGAGCUGCUCCUGUAAAACAUACAGUAGAAAAACAGAAGCAGCAACAGAGACACGGAAGAGGUCGGCGGGAGGCGAAAGGCGCACAUUUACACAUAGAGAAAAGCUCAGAGCGGGGCGGCGCGGCGCCACAGACACUUAAGUGGGAAGCCUGAGCACUCACCAGCGUAGGCGCGUGUGCUUCUGAAUAAAGUGUACGGGGACCGGCCUCGCACAGGCACACUAUAUCUACCUCUUCACAACUCGCCCCCAUCUGAGACAAAGACAAAGACAGAGAGGAUGAACUGUUGUCUCUUUGAUGCCUCUUACCCCCUUUUUACUGCCUGCCAGUAACGCUGCAUGAAGGAAGUUUUAAGAUGUUGUUUCCCAAACUUUUUCUUUUUUUUUUUUGAAAUUAUGCAUCUCCUAAUGGCUCUGUGAUGUAACCUUUUCCACCUACUUGUAUUUUUAAGAGCUGAAAACCGGGCACUGAUUAGACUGCCUCUGCCAGACGCUGGAAAUCACGAAUGCUUAAAAACCGGAGUAAUUAAGCCGAGGAAGCAAUUAACAUCACAUCCACUUAUCACAAAAGACACUUCUUUGUAGAUUACAUAAUAAAGUUGUGUGUUUUUUUUUCUUUUGAAUACUGACCUCACAAAUUAUUACAAUUUUAAUCAAGUAUAUUGGUUUGCAAUUGCAGUGUUCAAUAACGCAGAGGUUUCAACAAUAUCAAGGAAUUUGUUCUGGUAGUAAACGCCGCAUAAACAUUUGAUUUAGAGAAUUUUGCUUAAAAUGUUCAAUUAACCAUUAUUUUUGUCCGUCAGCAUUGAGCAGAGAACAGGAAAGGUGACAUGUUAUUAUGGGUUGUAUUUAGGGCUGCACCGAUCAAACGACCGACUGCCCCGAUUUCCUUAUUUUUGGGUGAGCUGAUAUCAGCUGAUGCUUACAUGUGAAUUCGAUUUUAUCCACUAAACUUAUCUACUUCAGCAGAGGUCUGAAAAUCAGCUAUUAUACCGAUGAAUGGCACACCGAAGUUGUGGGUUUUUUUGACAGAAAGGUUCACUUAUGUUAAAAAGUUCAGCUUUUAAGCUUUUUUUAAGCAUGUUAGCUUCUGCUAACAUGCUAGCAUUCUUACUAGCCCAAAUGUUAAAAGUUAACUCCUACAUCAGUGGAGUUUAGGGCUUUAAUGACAAACCGCUUAAGGUACAUAGUUGAGAAAGUUGGUUUCCACAAUCGGUUAGAAUUUUUUGGAAAAUGUAACAGGAUAUUUUAGCUACUAAAGGCUAAACACCAUUUUAUUUCAAAGCCUUAAAACCUAUCAAUAUUAAAAUGGGUUUCUUUCUUUCUUUAUUGUUUAUUUGCAUUGGGACAAGUUUUAAGUGCUACAUCUACAAAGGAAAUGCGAAUGGGUUACCAUGGAAGCAAAAUGGUGAUGAAGACGGAUUUUUUGUUGCUGACUGAAAACAGUAUGUCAACUGGAAACAUGUAAUUGCCCCACAAUUAUGAAACAAUUGAAAAUGUGAGGGUUCAGUUCAUGUUAGAGAUGGUACAGAACCCUGAAAGUAGGGAGUCAACAGUCAGACCAAAGCGUCAACCAAAGUCGUUGUUUGUGAGCAUAAAGUCUACUGAGUAAAAACUGACUUUUUAACAACAAUUUUUACUUUUUAUGUGUUUUCUCUUAGUACAAACUUGUCAACAAGUGUUGAUAUCCACAUUUGUGUUAAGUCAAAAACCUCUCGAAAUUAUUCUUCUGGAUGUUUAGUUGCAAUAAUUAACUUUUUAUUUCUCAGUUUGACUGUAGAUGCUGUUUGAUUCGGUGUUUAUAUUUUAUUUUCGUGACACAGAUGGUGUCCUCAGAAUGUACUUUUUGGUAGCUCUUCUUCUCCUAAAUAAAAGUGGGGUUUAUUUAGGAGACGGCCAUUGGGAGGAAGUUGCUUAAGCACAAACUGGAGUUGUCUUGAAAUGACAAUUUUCUUACAAAUGAUCAUUUGUUCAAAUACAAAGCUUCACUCUAUAAACUCAUAUUUGAGCUGGGAACUUUGCCAACACAAUUGGUGGUUUGUAUGAAUAUUUUACUAUAAAUUCAUGCCCGAGUUUGGCAUUCCAAAUUAAAUGGCAUCACGUAAACAGGCUUAAACAUGACAUGAUGUGUUUAAAUGACCUGUAAACAUAAAUGGUUUUUUUUAAAUUUAGCAAAAAUAAAAUGCAUGCAAUUUGUCACCUCAGUUUUAUAAAUGACAUUUUAAGUUGGUUUAGGCGGUAUGAAGGCUUGUUAGGCGUCUCAGCUGGCUGCAUGGCUUCUUUUCUAUGUAAUGUAACGUCAAAAUCCAAGUAAUCCAAAAACAGGUUUUGCGCAAUAAUAAUAAUAAUAUAUAUAU